CUCUCUCUCUCUCUCUCUCCUAUCCCUCCUCUCCAUCUCCCUAUUGCAUUGUGUCUGACUGAUUUUCAGAGCACCUUCUCUCUCUCUCUCUCUCUCUCUCUCUCUCUCUCUCAUUUUCUUUCUGUAAAAUAUCUAGACAGGAAGGAGGUGGCUGCAGAAGCUGAACAAACAAUCUCACAUUCUGCCUGCAAUGUCAUCGUUCUCUCCCUCAUUUUAGGGGGGUGAAGUUACCCAGGAAGGGAUGCAGAGGAGCUGAAAAGGAAGGGGGGGUUCUCCAGAGGCUGCUGCGGUCAGGGGCAGGGACUGCCACCAGAUGUGCCUGCCUUUCUAGGCUUUGAUUCGAAAGGGACAGCAGGAGGAAAUAUUGAGAGACAAAAGCCUCGGUUUAAAUGAUCAUUUUCUUUAUUUAAUAUGGCAGCAGACACACUCUGCAUAGGAUCAUCGUUCCGAGCACAAACUGGACUUUCCUACUUGCCUGACAGGAGUCACACAGAUCUCUGUUUGCUAAAUGAGCAUCCGAG
rnacentral:lncRNA from 1 species